rnacentral:rRNA from 1 species
CCUACGGGUGGCAGCAGUGGGGAAUAUUGGACAAUGGGCGAAAGCCUGAUCCAGCCAUGCCGCGUGUGUGAAGAAGGCCUUCGGGUUGUAAAGCACUUUCAGUGGGGAAGAAAGCCUUGGGGCUAAUACCCUCGAGGAAGGACAUCACCCACAGAAGAAGCACCGGCUAACUCCGUGCCAGCAGCCGCGGUAAUACGGAGGGUGCGAGCGUGAAUCGGAAUUACUGGGCGUAAAGCGCGCGUAGGCGGUCUGAUAAGCCGGUUGUGAAAGCCCCGGGCUCAACCUGGGAACGGCAUCCGGAACUGUCAGGCUAGAGUGCAGGAGAGGAAGGUAGAAUUCCCGGUGUAGCGGUGAAAUGCGUAGAGAUCGGGAGGAAUACCAGUGGCGAAGGCGGCCUUCUGGACUGACACUGACGCUGAGGUGCGAAAGCGUGGGUAGCAAACAGGAUUAGAUACCCGAGUAGUC